rnacentral:rRNA from 1 species
GGGUCAGUAGGUUGGUCGUGCCACCGGUACGUACUGGUCUCACUGAUUCCUCCUUCCUGAAGAACCGUAAUGCCAUUAAUUUGGUGUUGCGGGGAAACAGGACUGUUACUUUGAAAAAAUUAGAGUGUUUAAAGCAAGCUAACGCUUGAAUACAUUAGCAUGGAAAUAUGAAAUAGGACGAUCGAUCCUAUUUUGUUGGUUUCUAGGAUUGACGUA